GUAGGUGGCAAGCGUUGUCCGGAAUUAUUGGGCGUAAAGCGCGCGCAGGUGGGUUCUUUAAGUCUGAUGUGAAAGCCCCCGGGCUCAACCGGGGAGGGUCAUUGGAAACUGGGGAACUUGAGUGCAGGAGAGGAAAGUGGAAUUCCACGUGUAGCGGUGAAAUGCGUAGAUAUGUGGAGGAACACCAGUGGCGAAGGCGACUUUCUGGCCUGUAACUGACACUGGGGCGCGAAAGCGUGGGGAGCAAACAGGAUUAGAUACCCUGGUAGUCCACGCCGUAAACGAUGAGUGCUAAGUGUUGGGGGGUUUCCGCCCCUCAGUGCUGCAGCUAACGCAUUAAGCACUCCGCCUGGGGAGUACGGUCGCAAAGACUG
rnacentral:rRNA from 1 species